rnacentral:piRNA from 1 species
CGGUGGUAUAAGGGCACAGGCAU